CAAAAACAACUCGUCAAAAUACUUCAGCCAGCCGGUGAAUAGCAGUAAGAGGGGCAAGUCAUUUGUUACAGCUAAAUAAGCUACACCUACUAAUGCAGAUUGUAUUUGAAAGCUCCACGUGAUUAUUAUAAUCUCCUAGCCACUAACCCAACGGGAAAAUCAUUGUGUGAAAUCAGUGGGCUCGCCUGCCUCGUCAUCAUCUUCAUGAAGUCAUCUAUUUAUCAUCCGAUGUCCCAGAAUCCCGAAUCAGGAUGACAUUGAGAAAGUGGAAGUAUAAUAAUUCAACCAAGCUCUUACACUCUUUCUAAUUUCUUCCCACAAAAAUAUCUUUGAAGACAUUUGUCAACACUUUGCUCCCGAAAGCGACGCCGAGCUGGAUGGGUUUGAGGGACAUCCAACGGGUUUGGACCUGGGUGGACGGAACCAUCCCCACCACAACGUAUUGGGGGACGGACCAGCCCAACAACUUCGGUGGCGGGCAGGACUGUGUCUGGUACUUCCAAGGCGAAACAAUUGGAUGGCCUGGCGGAGCAUGGAACGACAUUGGAUGUCAAUCGUUAAACGGCUGCAUUUGUGAAAAGUAGAGAGUAAAUGUGUUUGAUAUAGGGAUGGAUGUGUCUAUCAUCAAGGGAUGUUAGGAUGUUGCUAGGGGAUUGUCUGGAUGUACCUGCUGAUGUCUGGAUCUGUCUUGUGUUGUAUACCGGGAAUGGGUUAACCUAGCGAUUGUUAGUUGACUAUACUGUCACUCGCCUGCCUCUUCUGAUCACUUGUGUUCUGUGAUUGUACUGUGAUUAUUCAUUGCCUGAGGGAUAUCUGUAGAAUGUGCCAUCUGUGAAAUUUAUAUGCAAUGAUUUGGGUGAUUACACAUUAGGAAUAUUUAUGUAAGAAAACAUGUUGCUUCAUCGUUAACAUAAAGCAUUCAUUAUUCAAGCCUACGAUGACUUCCUCAGAUCAGAUAUUGUGUGUAACACAACUAUAACAAACCAGGGUUGACUGUGUGGGGAAAACCUUUUCAUUCAUCUUUUAUUUUCAUUAGCAGCGGAUAUCAAUACUAAUGUCAAUAGAAUCAGGUGAUAUUUCGUCCAUUAUCUCAACAUUAGCCUCAUAUGGGCUGAUUUGGCUCAAGCCUUGUUGGUUCAAGUCACUCUGGCUGAGAGCAUCGGCUCUAUGAACUGAAGCAAUAGACGGAAGUUCACAACAGUUUGAAGCCUUAGCCUUGCAGACAACAAUCACCUGUCCAGAGAUGUGGUCAUCUUUAGCAGUGCUUUAUAUAAUCAACAAUCCCCAAGAAAAACCCAUCCCCAUAUUCAUCAACAGAAAAUAGCAACAAUUUUGUGAUAUU
rnacentral:lncRNA from 1 species